rnacentral:lncRNA from 1 species
ACGAUUUUUGUUUUCUCUUUUAAGACGGGGGAGUUAUGAUACGCUGCCGCCUACUGAUCUACUUCAUGUUCUGGAUAGACCAUGAAAAAACCUCUAGCCCCCAGCUAUAUCCAUAAAAUGAAUUGGCCAGCAGAGACCAAAAACACCUCCCAAGUACAGUUGUGCGCUACUUAUUUCAAUUACAGAUGUGAAGAAAGAGCGUUGGCGUCACAUAGAGAAGAAUUUUCGAAGGUAUUUCUACCCUCUUCAUCACCAGAAACAAUCCCCUCAACAGGCAGCUCUUCCCUAGAUCUGAUUCAGUAAGGUAGGUUUCAGUGUAAAACUAUACCAUACAAACUGGCAAAGAAGUUAGGAAAGAGGGAAGGAAAACAGAUUCCAGAAGUAUCAUUGAUAAAAAUGUACGUGUACAUUUAAUAUGUAA